UCGGGAAUUUUGGGCAAUGGGGGAAACCCUGACCCAGCAACGCCGCGUGAAGGAUGAAGUAUUUCGGUAUGUAGACUUCGAAAGAAUAGGAAGAAUAAAUGACGGUACUAUUUAUAAGGUCCGGCUAACUACGUGCCAGCAGCCGCGGUAAUACGUAGGGACCAAGCGUUGUUCGGAUUUACUGGGCGUAAAGGGCGCGUAGGCGGCAAUUCAAGUCAUCUGUGAAAUCUCCGGGCUUAACUCGGAACGGUCAGAUGAUACUGCUUUGCUAGAGUGCAGAAGGGGCAAUCGGAAUUCUUGGUGUAGCGGUGAAAUGCGUAGAUAUCAAGAGGAACACCAGUGGCGAAGGCGGCCUCCUGGACGAUGACUGACGCUGAGACGCGAAAGCGUGGGGAGCAAACAGGAUUAGAUACCCGAGUAGUCCCUGAGCGGGCUGGCAAGGCGCAU
rnacentral:rRNA from 1 species